rnacentral:rRNA from 1 species
UGCCAGCCGCCGCCGUAAUACGAAGGGACCUAGCGUAGUUCGGAAUUACUGGGCUUAAAGAGUUCGUAGGUGGUUGAAAAAGUUGGUGGUGAAAUCCCAGAGCUUAACUCUGGAACUGCCAUCAAAACUUUUCAGCUAGAGUAUAAUAGAGGAAAGCAGAAUUUCUAGUGUAGAGGUGAAAUUCGUAGAUAUUAGAAAGAACACCAAAUGCGAAGGCAACUUACUGGGUCACUACUGACACUGAGGAGCGAAAGCAUAGGUAGCGAAGAGGAUUAGAUA